CAGGGCCUGAUCCAAAGCUCAUUGAGGAGAAUGGAAGCCCUUCCACUGACUUCAAAGGGUUUUGGAUCAGGCCCCAGUG
rnacentral:pre_miRNA from 1 species